UUUGUUGUAUAAGUGUGUCUCAUGCUAUAUUUGGGACAUAAUUAUAUCAAGA
rnacentral:pre_miRNA from 1 species